GGCUCUUCCGGUGUCAUGGCGCCAAAGAACUUUACCGUCCUACAUUGCAGAGUGUACCCUCGCUGGAUACGCUGCUUUGUGUGAACUCUACAAGCUACAGCCUGUAUAGGAAAUACCCUAGGAGACCCUCAAGCUGCGCAAUGGUAAAUUGCCUAGUGACCGGGAAGAUGACCUCAAGAGAGAGCCCCUUGUUUCCUCCUCUCAGCCUCCCACCACUGCAGCAUCCCAUUCAGAGCAAAAUCUUUUCAAGCUCCAGAUCCUGA
rnacentral:lncRNA from 1 species